rnacentral:rRNA from 1 species
GGAGAAGAAGCCCCGGCUAACUUCGUGCCAGCAGCCGCGGUAAUACGAAGGGGGCUAGCGUUGUUCGGAAUUACUGGGCGUAAAGCGCGCGUAGGCGGAUUGUUAAGUCGGAGUGAAAUCCCGGAGCUCAACUCCGGAAUUGCCUUCAUACUGUCUCUUGAGUGCGGGAGAGGUGAGUGGAAUUCCGAGUGUAGAGGUGAAAUUCGUAGAUAUUCGGAGGAACACCAGUGGCGAAGGCGGCUCACUGGCCCGGUACUGACGCUGAGGCGCGAAAGCGUGGGGAGCAAACAGGAUUAGAUACCCUGGUAGUCCACGCCGUAAACUAUGAUUGCUAGCUGUCGGGGGCUGCUCUUCAUGGCGCAGCUAACGCAUUAAGCAUUCCGCCUGGGGAGUACGGUCGCAAGAUUAAAACUC